GUACGGGAGAGGUAAACGGAAUUCCUGGUAUAGAGCUGAAAUUAGUAGAUAUCAGGAGGAACACCUGUGGCGAAGGCGGAUUCAUGGCCCGAUACGGACGCUGAGGCGCGAAAGCGCGGUUAGCAAACAGGAUUAGAUACCCUGGUAGUCCGCGCCGUAAACGAUGAGCACUAGAUAUAGCUGGGUAUUGACCCCCGCUGUGUCGCAUGCUAACGCAUUAAGUGCUCCGCAUGGGGAGUACGGCCGCAUAGGUUUAAACUCAAAGGAAUUGACGGGGGCCACGCACAAGCGGUGGAGCAUGUGGUUUAAUUCGAUGCAACGCGCAGAACCUGACCUGGGCUUGACAUGUCGGGAAUCCCUUCGAGAGUUGGGAGUGCCCUUCGGGGAACCCGAGCACAGGUGCUGCAUGACUGUCGUCAGCUCGUGUCAUGAGAUAUUGGCUUAAGUCCCGCAACGAGCGCAACCAUAGUCUUUAGAUUGCCAUCACUUAGGUUGGCAACUCUAGUGGAGACUGCCGGAUGUCAAGCCGGAGGAAGGUGGGGAUGACGUCAAGUCCUCAUGGCCCUUAUGUCCAGGGCUA
rnacentral:rRNA from 1 species